rnacentral:tRNA from 1 species
GCGAGGAUGGCGGAACCUGGUAGACGCGCAAGGCUGAGGACCUUGUGGACCUAAUAAGUCUAUGGGGGUUCAAGUCCCCCUCCUCGCACCA